UCGACUUUAGUUCAGUGGUAAAAUUCCCGCUUCGGGUGCGGGAGGCCUGGGUUCGAUUCCCGGAAGUCGCC
rnacentral:tRNA from 1 species